GGGUUGUGAGGUUAAGCGACUAAGCGUACACGGUGGAUGCCCUGGCAGUCAGAGGCGAUGAAGGACGUGCUAAUCUGCGAAAAGCGUCGGUAAGGUGAUAUGAACCGUUAUAACCGGCGAUGUCCGAAUGGGGAAACCCAGUGCAAUUCGUUGCACUAUCGUUAACUGAAUACAUAGGUUAACGAGGCGAACCGGGGGAACUGAAACAUCUAAGUACCCCGAGGAAAAGAAAUCAACCGAGAUUCCCCCAGUAGCGGCGAGCGAACGGGGAGCAGCCCAGAGUCUGAAUCAGCUUGUGUGUUAGUGGAACGGUCUGGAAAGUCCGACGGUACAGGGUGAUAGUCCCGUACACCAAAAUGCACAGGUUGUGAACUCGAAGAGUAGGGCGGGACACGUGGUAUCCUGUCUGAAUAUGGGGGGACCAUCCUCCAAGGCUAAAUACUCCUGACUGACCGAUAGUGAACCAGUACCGUGAGGGAAAGGCGAAAAGAACCCCGGCGAGGGGAGUGAAAAAGAACCUGAAACCGUGUACGUACAAGCAGUGGGAGCACCUUCGGGUGUGACUGCGUACCUUUUGUAUAAUGGGUCAGCGACUUAUAUUCUGUAGCAAGGUUAACCGUAUAGGGGAGCCGCAGGGAAACCGAGUCUUAACUGGGCGUUAAGUUGCAGGGUAUAGACCCGAAACCCGGUGAUCUAGCCAUGGGCAGGUUGAAGGUUGGGUAACACUAACUGGAGGACCGAACCGACUAAUGUUGAAAAAUUAGCGGAUGACUUGUGGCUGGGGGUGAAAGGCCAAUCAAACCGGGAGAUAGCUGGUUCUCCCCGAAAGCUAUUUAGGUAGCGCCUCGUGAAUUCAUCUUCGGGGGUAGAGCACUGUUUCGGCUAGGGGGUCAUCCCGACUUACCAACCCGAUGCAAACUACGAAUACCGAAGAAUGUUAUCACGGGAGACACACGGCGGGUGCUAACGUCCGUCGUGAAGAGGGAAACAACCCAGACCGCCAGCUAAGGUCCCAAAGUCAUGGUUAAGUGGGAAACGAUGUGGGAAGGCACAGACAGCCAGGAUGUUGGCUUAGAAGCAGCCAUCAUUUAAAGAAAGCGUAAUAGCUCACUGGUCGAGUCGGCCUGCGCGGAAGAUGUAACGGGGCUAAACCAUGCACCGAAGCUGCGGCAGCGACACUAUGUGUUGUUGGGUAGGGGAGCGUUCUGUAAGCCUGCGAAGGUGUGCUGUGAGGCAUGCUGGAGGUAUCAGAAGUGCGAAUGCUGACAUAAGUAACGAUAAAGCGGGUGAAAAGCCCGCUCGCCGGAAGACCAAGGGUUCCUGUCCAACGUUAAUCGGGGCAGGGUGAGUCGACCCCUAAGGCGAGGCCGAAAGGCGUAGUCGAUGGGAAACAGGUUAAUAUUCCUGUACUUGGUGUUACUGCGAAGGGGGGACGGAGAAGGCUAUGUUAGCCGGGCGACGGUUGUCCCGGUUUAAGCAUGUAGGCUGGUUAUCCAGGCAAAUCCGGAUAAUCAAGGCUGAGGUGUGAUGACGAGGCACUACGGUGCUGAAGUAACAAAUGCCCUGCUUCCAGGAAAAGCCUCUAAGCAUCAGGUAACAUUAAAUCGUACCCCAAACCGACACAGGUGGUCAGGUAGAGAAUACCAAGGCGCUUGAGAGAACUCGGGUGAAGGAACUAGGCAAAAUGGUGCCGUAACUUCGGGAGAAGGCACGCUGGUGUGUAGGUGAAGUCCCUGCGGAUGGAGCUGAGACCAGUCGAAGAUACCAGCUGGCUGCAACUGUUUAUUAAAAACACAGCACUGUGCAAACACGAAAGUGGACGUAUACGGUGUGACGCCUGCCCGGUGCCGGAAGGUUAAUUGAUGGGGUUAUCCGUAAGGAGAAGCUCUUGAUCGAAGCCCCGGUAAACGGCGGCCGUAACUAUAACGGUCCUAAGGUAGCGAAAUUCCUUGUCGGGUAAGUUCCGACCUGCACGAAUGGCGUAAUGAUGGCCAGGCUGUCUCCACCCGAGACUCAGUGAAAUUGAACUCGCUGUGAAGAUGCAGUGUACCCGCGGCAAGACGGAAAGACCCCGUGAACCUUUACUAUAGCUUGACACUGAACAUUGAGCCUUGAUGUGUAGGAUAGGUGGGAGGCUUUGAAGCGUGGACGCCAGUCUGCGUGGAGCCAACCUUGAAAUACCACCCUUUAAUGUUUGAUGUUCUAACGUUGGCCCCUUACCGGGGUUGCGGACAGUGUCUGGUGGGUAGUUUGACUGGGGCGGUCUCCUCCCAAAGCGUAACGGAGGAGCACGAAGGUUAGCUAAUCCUGGUCGGACAUCAGGAGGUUAGUGCAAUGGCAUAAGCUAGCUUGACUGCGAGCGUGACGGCGCGAGCAGGUGCGAAAGCAGGUCAUAGUGAUCCGGUGGUUCUGAAUGGAAGGGCCAUCGCUCAACGGAUAAAAGGUACUCCGGGGAUAACAGGCUGAUACCGCCCAAGAGUUCAUAUCGACGGCGGUGUUUGGCACCUCGAUGUCGGCUCAUCACAUCCUGGGGCUGAAGUAGGUCCCAAGGGUAUGGCUGUUCGCCAUUUAAAGUGGUACGCGAGCUGGGUUUAGAACGUCGUGAGACAGUUCGGUCCCUAUCUGCCGUGGGCGCUGGAGAAUUGAGGGGGGCUGCUCCUAGUACGAGAGGACCGGAGUGGACGCAUCACUGGUGUUCGGGUUGUCAUGCCAAUGGCACUGCCCGGUAGCUAAAUGCGGAAGAGAUAAGUGCUGAAAGCAUCUAAGCACGAAACUUGCCCCGAGAUGAGUUCUCCCUGAGACUUUAAGUCUCCUGAAGGAACGUUAAAGACGAUGACGUUGAUAGGCCGGGUGUGUAAGCGCAGCGAUGCGUUGAGCUAACCGGUACUAAUGAACCGUGAGGCUUAACCUUACAACGCCGAAG
rnacentral:rRNA from 1 species